rnacentral:rRNA from 1 species
CCAGACUCCUACGGGAGGCAGCAGUGGGGAAUUUUGGACAAUGGGCGCAAGCCUGAUCCAGCCAUGCCGCGUGAGUGAAGAAGGCCUUCGGGUUGUAAAGCUCUUUCAGCCGGGAAGAAAACGCAUGGGUUAAUACCCUGUGUGGAUGACGGUACCGGAAUAAGAAGCACCGGCUAACUACGUGCCAGCAGCCGCGGUAAUACGUAGGGUGCGAGCGUUAAUCGGAAUUACUGGGCGUAAAGCGUGCGCAGGCGGUUUGUUAAGAUAGGCGUGAAAUCCCCGGGCUCAACCUGGGAACUGCGUUUAUGACUGGCAGGCUAGAGUAUGGCAGAGGGGGGUGGAAUUCCACGUGUAGCAGUGAAAUGCGUAGAGAUGUGGAGGAACACCGAUGGCGAAGGCAG